rnacentral:rRNA from 1 species
AUGAAAAAGAAACAGAAAAACAGAAAAGAAAAAAAAACACAGGAGGAGGAGGAGGCGCGCUCGCGGCGGAUCGGCGCCUGCGCAACACGGAGGAACGACGACGACGGUCAGCCUUCCAGAGGAUAUCUACACUCGCUGAUGCCGUUGCGAGAUGCUGCUCAGGCUGCCUGCGUAUCCCAUGCCUUUUUGCGUUUCUGGCGAUCCUAUGGCAGGCUCGACUUUGACAUUUACACACUAGGAUUACUGGAUGUAGGCCGCCGCCUGUUGUCGUUUGGUCCCAUUGACAAAGAAUUACCAGUUAUAGAGGAUCAACUGAGGAGGGGCGUCAUUGCAACAUUCGACGAGUACUUCGAAAAGAAUAGUCCUAUCAUAAAAGAAUUCUCUGCCAGAGUUGAUCACAUCAUGCAUAACCACGUCGGAACAGGUGUUCAGACAUUCAGGCUUGUACCUCCCCAUGGCUUCUACAUAAACCCUGCUGUUCUUGACCGCUGGUUCCAAGCUGUCAUCGCACAGGGGAUCAGUGAAUUUUACCUGUACCUAGACAUGGGCGAUGAGGGGCUAGGUUACAACUUCCCGUGCUCCUUGAUGCGUGUUACUGGGGAGGAACUUAUCUGCUUCCUGUCUACUUCUCCUCGUUUGCAGAAGCUGCAACUUUCCUACUGCAAUGACAUGGUUUGCCUGAAGAUACCUCAUUCCCUGUCGCGGCUCAAAUUGCUGCUGGUACGCAACUGCAACAGUUUGCAAACGAUUGGAUGCGAUGCUCCACAGCUCAAGAGCUUUGGAUAUGAUGGGUUGCCCACAACGCAGAUCUGCCUUGGAGAUUCAUCACCCUUAGUGAGGGAGAUGAGAAUGUCUGGUAUAGAUGAUGAGCCUACAGGCAUGCUCUGUUAUGCCACCACUAAGCUUCCUUCAGUCGCGCCAAAUAUUAGCUCGCUUGUCCUAUCAUCAUGCUUUGAGAUUGCAACUCCAAUGAAAAAGCUUAACAAAUUCCGCCGCCUCAAGUACUUGGAGAUACAGCUUCAUACGCCAAGACGUUGUCCAGACUUUGAUUUUUAUUCGCUGGUUUCUAUUCUUAAUGCUUGUCCUGUCCUGGCUACUUUCAUCUUGCGUUUAGAGAUGCGCGAUGCUGAUGAUGCCAUUCCGGGAGAUCCUCAUGGUGAUUCCUCGCAACGAAAAACGCAUAUGAGGGGGCAGGGCCGUCGCAAGUUGAAGAAUGUGCUAACGAGGGGAUUUCCUUGUGCAAAAGGUUUGGUUGAGCUAACAAGUCACAUCCUUGAGACCGCAGCAUCCUUAAAGCGCCUGGUACUAGACACUAAAUAUGGCUGCCAUACGAGGGAUUGCAUUGGCAUAUGCUCGCCUUUAACGAGAAAGGCCCUCUUGGAAGCACGGAAAGCUGUAGAUGUCAUCAAGACAUACAUCGAGAGUAAAGUCCCCUCAAGUGUUAAAUUCAAGCUUAUCGAGCCAUGUGCCAAGUGUCACGCCGAUGACGCAUAA